rnacentral:rRNA from 1 species
CCUACGGGUGGCUGCAGUGGGGAAUAUUGGACAAUGGGCGAAAGCCUGAUCCAGCCAUGCCGCGUGUGUGAAGAAGGCCUUCGGGUUGUAAAGCACUUUCAGUGGGGAAGAAAGCCUUGGGGCUAAUACCCUCGAGGAAGGACAUCACCCACAGAAGAAGCACCGGCUAACUCCGUGCCAGCAGCCGCGGUAAUACGGAGGGUGCGAGCGUUAAUCGGAAUUACUGGGCGUAAAGCGCGCGUAGGCGGUCUGAUAAGCCGGUUGUGAAAGCCCCGGGCUCAACCUGGGAACGGCAUCCGGAACUGUCAGGCUAGAGUGCAGGAGAGGAAGGUAGAAUUCCCGGUGUAGCAGUGAAAUGCGUAGAGAUCGGGAGGAAUACCAGUGGCGAAGGCGGCCUUCUGGACUGACACUGACGCUGAGGUGCGAAAGCGUGGGUAGCAAACAGAAUUAGAUACCCCGGUAGUC